rnacentral:rRNA from 1 species
UACAGAGGUCCCAAGCGUUGUUCGGAUUCACUGGGCGUAAAGGGUGCGUAGGUGGUCAGGUAAGUCGGAUGUGAAAUCUCCGAGCUCAACUCGGAAACUGCAUUGGAAACUACCUGGCUCGAGGGUUGGAGGGGGGACUGGAAUGCUUGGUGUAGCAGUGAAAUGCGUAGAUAUCAAGCGGAACACCAGUGGCGAAGGCGAGUCCCUGGACAACUCCUGACACUGAUGCACGAAAGCGAGGGGAGCAAACAGG